rnacentral:rRNA from 1 species
CCCCAAAUCCACCUAGAGGAGCCUGUCCUAUAAUCGAUAACCCCCGUUUAACCUCACCAUUCCUUGUCUAUCAGCCUGUAUACCUCCGUCGCCAGCUUACCGCGUGAGCGCCAUUANNNNNNNNNNNNNNNNAUACGCCAACACGUCAGGUCAAGGUGCAGCUAAUGAGAUGGGAAGAGAUGGGCUACACUUUCUACCAUAGAAAAAACGAAAGACUACCUAUGAAAUCUAGUCAGAAGGAGGAUUUAGUAGUAAAAAGAAAACAGAGUGUUCUUUUUAAUCCGGCACUGGGGUGUGUACACACCGCCCGUCACCCUCUUCAAGGCCCAAUCAAAGUACAUAACCAAACUUUGCCACAUAGAAGAGGCAAGUCGUAACAUGGUAAGUAUACCGGAAGGUGUGCUUGGAAA